GGCGAGAUAGCUCAGUUGGCUAGAGCACACGGUUCAUACCCGUGGUGUCGUGAGUUCAAAUCUCUCUCUCGCUA
rnacentral:tRNA from 1 species